AGCGGCGGACGGGUGAGUAACACGUGGGUAAUCUGCCCUCAAGUGGGGAAUAACACAGAGAAAUCUGUGCUAAUACCGCAUAAUGUAUCUAAGUCGCAUGAUUUGGAUAAAAAAGAUUUAUCGCUUGAGGAUGAGCCCGCGGCCCAUUAGCUAGUUGGUGAGGUAAAGGCCCACCAAGGCAACGAUGGGUAGCCGACCUGAGAGGGUGAUCGGCCACAUUGGAACUGAGACACGGUCCAGACUCCUACGGGAGGCAGCAGUGGGGAAUAUUGCACAAUGGGGGAAACCCUGAUGCAGCAACGCCGCGUGAGUGACGAAGGCCUUCGGGUUGUAAAGCUCUGUCUUCACUGACGAAGAAAUGACGGUAAGUGAGGAGGAAGCCACGGCUAACUACGUGCCAGCAGCCGCGGUAAUACGUAGGUGGCAAGCGUUGUCCGGAAUUAUUGGGCGUAAAGGAUGCGUAGGCGGUCUUUUAAGUGGGAUGUGAAAUACCUGGGCUUAACUCAGGGAUUGCAUUCCAAACUGGGAGACUAGAGUGCAGGAGAGGAAAGUGGAAUUCCCAGUGUAGCGGUGAAAUGCGUAGAGAUUGGGAGGAACACCAGUGGCGAAGGCGACUUACUGGACUGUAACUGACGCUGAGGCAUGAAAGCGUGGGGAGCGAACAGGAUUAGAUACCCUGGUAGUCCACGCU
rnacentral:rRNA from 1 species